rnacentral:lncRNA from 1 species
AAAAGUUAGUUUUUUUCCGUUAAUUGAAGACUAAAAGACUAAAACACCUCUCCCUAGCUGACAUGGACCAGUAUGAAGCGAUAAGGGAGGGAAUUGUAUAAACUAAAAGAUUAAAUAAUAAUUUUCCCUAUAAUUUUAUGCACAUGUAGAAUUAUAUAGACUAAGCUUAAUUACACGAGUAGGAAAAUUAGCUUCGCUAAAUUUAAAAAUGAAAAUUGAAGAGUUUCAUAUAAAGUCGAUGGAGACA